rnacentral:rRNA from 1 species
GGCGACGAUCAGUAACUGGUCUGAGAGGACGAUCAGUCACACUGGAACUGAGACACGGUCCAGACUCCUACGGGAGGCAGCAGUGGGGAAUUUUCCGCAAUGGGCGAAAGCCUGACGGAGCAAUACCGCGUGAGGGAGGAAGGCUCUUGGGUCGUAAACCUCUUUUCUCAAGGAAUAAGUUCUGAAGGUACUUGAGGAAUAAGCAUCGGCUAACUCCGUGCCAGCAGCCGCGGUAAUACGGAGGAUGCAAGCGUUAUCCGGAAUGAUUGGGCGUAAAGCGUCCGCAGGUGGUUAUGUAAGUCUGUUGUUAAAGCGUGCGGCUCAACCGCAUAAGGGCAAUGGAAACUACAAGACUAGAGUGCGUUAGGGGUAGAGGGAAUUCCUGGUGUAGCGGUGAAAUGCGUAGAUAUCAGGAAGAACACCAGUGGCGAAGGCGCUCUGCUAUGCCGCAACUGACACUGAGGGACGAAAGCUAGGGGAGCGAAUGGGAUUAGAUACCCC